rnacentral:rRNA from 1 species
UACGUAGGGCGCAAGCGUUAUCCGGAAUUAUUGGGCGUAAAGAGCUCGUAGGCGGUUUGUCGCGUCUGCCGUGAAAGUCCGGGGCUCAACUCCGGAUCUGUGGUGGGUACGGGCAGACUAGAGUGAUGUAGGGGAGACUGGAAUUCCUGGUGUAGCGGUGAAAUGCGCAGAUAUCAGGAGGAACACCGGUGGCGAAGGCGGGUCUCUGGGCAACAACUGACGCUGAGGAGCGAAAGCGUGGGGGGCAAACAGG